UAAUUUAAAGUCUAGCCUGCCCAAUGAUUAUUUAUUGAAUGGCCGCGGUAUUUUGACCGUGCUAAGGUAGCAUAAUAAUUAGUUUUUUAAUUGAGAACUGGUAUGAAUGGUUGGACAAAGAAAAUUCUGUCUCAAGUUUAAUUUAAUUAGAAUUUUAUUUUUAAGUAAAAAAGCUUAAAUGAUUUUAAAAGACGAGAAGACCCUAUAGAGUUUUAUAUUGUUUUUUAUAAAUAAUUUAAAGAAUUAUAUAUUUUAUAUAUUAAAUAGUAUUUUGUUGGGGUGACAAAAAAAUUAAAUUAACUUUUUUUAUAUUUUAUCAUUGAUUUAUGAUUAAGUGAUCCAU
rnacentral:rRNA from 1 species